UUUCAUGAUGAUUCCAAUUUUUAUAAGCAUAGUUCAACUGAAGGUCUCCGGAUCCUGAACGACAACCUUUCCAUCUUUCACCUUUUUUCUGAAA
rnacentral:snoRNA from 1 species